rnacentral:rRNA from 1 species
GAUGAACGCUGGCGGCGUGCCUAAUACAUGCAAGUCGAGCGAACAGACGAGGAGCUUGCUCCUCUGACGUUAGCGGCGGACGGGGGAGUAACACGUGGAUAACCUACCUAUAAGACUGGGAUAACUUCGGGAAACCGGAGCUAAUACCGGAUAAUAUAUUGAACCGCAUGGUUCAAUAGUGAAAGACGGUUUUGCUGUCACUUAUAGAUGGAUCCGCGCCGCAUUAGCUAGUUGGUAAGGUAACGGCUUACCAAGGCAACGAUGCGUAGCCGACCUGAGAGGGUGAUAGGCCACACUGGAACUGAGACACGGUCCAGACUCCUACGGGAGGAAGCAGUAGGGAAUCUUACGCAAUGGGGGAAAGCCUGACGGAGCACAGUCGCGUGAGUGAUGAAGGUCUUCGGCUCGUAAAACUCUGUUAUUAGGGAAGAACAAAUGUGUAAGUAACUAUGCACGUAUUGACGGUACCUAAUCAGAAAGCCACGGCUAACUACGUG